UGUGUAUAAGUAAUUAUUCUGUUCAUCUGUCAAUGCGUAUAAAUAAGGCCAAGUACUUAAUAUGAAUUUACAUUCUUUUUUGUUUUGUAUCUGUAUUAAAUUUUAUAUAUCUCUUAUUAAAUCAGUUUUUUUUAUUGCCAAACUGUCACCGUGCAGUAAAAUAACGACAGAAUUUGCGUCUAGUUCUAUUGAAUUAAUUUUUUUUAUUUGCUAUUCAUAGCUGGCACCAGGUGAACAGAAAUUCAAUACAUUCUUUACCUGACCUAUCUUAUCUGACACCAUUACUAUUUUAUUAUAGUUUGUUUCCAAAACAUUAUUUAGUAUCUGUAUGCCAGUGUCACACCGAGCCUGCAAGUAGUUCUUAGGUUGGUUAAUUUUUGUAUCACUGGACCUUAAAGACCCUUUUCUAUUGCUGUUAUGACAAUUCGUUGAUUGUAGCCUCUGUGUGUCACAGUCAUAAAUCAGCUGGCUUUGUUUUAGUUCUACAGCAUAAGCAUUUAAAUUUGAACUCAGAUGCAGUCCUGUUUUAAUUUAUUUAUUUUAAUAAAACUAUUUUUAUUUUAAA